rnacentral:rRNA from 1 species
GUAGGGAAUAUUGCACAAUGGGGGAAACCCUGAUGCAGCGACGCCGCGUGAGUGAUGAAGGCCUUCGGGUCGUAAAGCUCUGUCGUAUGGGACUAACAAAAUGAAGGUACCAUGCAAGAAAGGAUCGGCUAACUUCGUGCCAGCAGCCGCGGUAAGACGAGGGAUCCUAGCGUUGUUCGGAAUUAUUGGGCGUAAAGCGGGUGUAGGCGGGCCUGUCAGUCAGGUGUGAAAUCCCAGGGCUUAACCCAGGAAGUGCACUUGAUACUGCAGGUCUUGAGUGUGGUAGAGGCUAUUAGAAUUCUUGGUGUAGUGGUGAAAUACGUAGAUAUCAAGAGGAAUACCGGAGGCGAAGGCGGAUAGCUGGGCCAACACUGACGCUGAGACCCGAAAGCGUGGGGAUCAAACAGGAUUAGAAACCCGGGUAGUCC